rnacentral:tRNA from 1 species
GAUUAAAUGGCUGAAUUAUAGGCAAUAGAUUGUAAAUUUAUUUAUGAAAUUUUUUUUUCUUUAAUCA